CAGCCGCGCGGUAAUACAGAGGGUGCGAGCGUUAAUCGGAUUUACUGGGCGUAAAGCGUGCGUAGGCGGCUAAUUGAGUCGGAUGUGAAAUCCCCGAGCUUAACUUGGGAAUUGCAUUCGAUACUGGUUAGCUAGAGUGUGGGAGAGGAUGGUAGAAUUCCAGGUGUAGCGGUGAAAUGCGUAGAGAUCUGGAGGAAUACCGAUGGCGAAGGCAGCCAUCUGGCCUAACACUGACGCUGAGGUACGAAAGCAUGGGGAGCAAACAGGAUUAGAUACCCCGGUAGUCCCUGUCUCUUAUACA
rnacentral:rRNA from 1 species